GACGAACGCUGGCGGCGUGCUUAACACAUGCAAGUCGAACGGAAAGGCCCUGCUUUUGUGGGGUGCUCGAGUGGCGAACGGGUGAGUAACACGUGAGUAACCUGCCCUUGACUUUGGGAUAACUUCAGGAAACUGGGGCUAAUACCGGAUAGGAGCUCCUGCUGCAUGGUGGGGGUUGGAAAGUUUCGGCGGUUGGGGAUGGACUCGCGGCUUAUCAGCUUGUUGGUGGGGCAGUGGCUUACCAAGGCUUUGACGGGUAGCCGGCCUGAGAGGGUGACCGGCCACAUUGGGACUGAGAUACGGCCCAGACUCCUACGGGAGGCAGCAGUGGGGAAUAUUGCACAAUGGGCGGAAGCCUGAUGCAGCAACGCCGCGUGCGGGAUGACGGCCUUCGGGUUGUAAACCGCUUUCGCCUGUGACGAAGCGUGAGUGGCGGUAAUGGGUAAAGAAGCACCGGCUAACUACGUG
rnacentral:rRNA from 1 species